AUCUACAGUCAUACUACCCUGAAUAAGCUCGAUCCUGUCUGAUAUUGGAAGCUAAGCAGGGUUGGGCCUGGUUAGUAUUUGGAUGAGAGACCACCUAGGAAGACCAAGUGCUGUAGGGG
rnacentral:rRNA from 1 species